rnacentral:rRNA from 1 species
AUUGAACGCUGGCGGCAUGCUUUACACAUGCAAGUCGGACGGCAGCACAGAGAAGCUUGCUUCUUGGGUGGCGAGUGGCGAACGGGUGAGUCACAUAUCGGAACGUACCGAGCAGUGGGGGAUAACUAAUCGAAAGAUUAGCUACUACCGCAUAUCUUCUGAGGAAGAAAGCAGGGGACCAUUUGGCCUUGCGCUGUUUGAGCGGCCGAUAUCUGAUUAGCUAGUUGGUGGGGUAAAGGCCUACCAAGGCGACGAUCAGUAGCGGGUCUGAGAGGAUGAUCGGCCACACUGGAACUGAGACACGGCCCAGACUCCUACGGGAGGCAGCAGUGGGGAAUUUUGGACAAUGGGCGCAAGCCUGAUCCAGCCAUGCCGCGUGUCUGAAGAAGGCCUUCGGGUUGUAAAGGACUUUUGUCAGGGAAGAAAAGGGCGGGGUUAAUACCCCUGUCUGAUGACGGUACCUGAAGAAUAAGCACCGGCUAACUACGUG